rnacentral:rRNA from 1 species
GACGAACGCUGGCGGCGUGCCUAAUACGUGCAAGUCGAACGCUUCUUUUUCCACCGGAGCUUGCUCCACCGGAAAAAGAGGAGUGGCGAACGGGUGAGUAACACGUGGGUAACCUGCCCAUCAGAAGGGGAUAACACUUGGAAACAGGUGCUAAUACCGUAUAACAAUCAAAACCGCAUGGUUUUGAUUUGAAAGGCGCUUUCGGGUGUCGCUGAUGGAUGGACCCGCGGUGCAUUAGCUAGUUGGUGAGGUAACGGCUCACCAAGGCCACGAUGCAUAGCCGACCUGAGAGGGUGAUCGGCCACAUUGGGACUGAGACACGGCCCAAACUCCUACGGGAGGCAGCAGUAGGGAAUCUUCGGCAAUGGACGAAAGUCUGACCGAGCAACGCCGCGUGAGUGAAGAAGGUUUUCGGGUCGUAAGGCUCUGUUGUUAGAGAAGGACAAGGAUGAGAGUAACUGUUCAUCCCUUGACGGUAUCUAACCAGAAAGCCACGGCUAACUACGUGCCAGCCGCCGCGGUAA